UCUUUUGGUUUAUGAUGAAAAGUGUAGUAUAAUGGAAAUGUAUAAAUGAUGUAAAUGGCACAUGUUUUGAGGAUAUGUGAUGUACUUGGAAAGAAAAAGGAUGUAAAUUACAGUAUGCUUGUAUUUGGUUAAAUGUAAUCAAUAUACAUGUGUGGAUGUGAAAAUAGUAGUAGUUCUUUCACUUGUUGGUUGUUGCUUACCCUCGUGCAAGCCAUGUAUAU
rnacentral:lncRNA from 1 species